GCUUGGGGGCGUGCUAAUACAUGCAAGUCGAGCGGACAGAAGGGAGCUUGCUCCCGGAUGUUAGCGGCGGACGGGUGAGUAACACGUGGGUAACCUGCCUGUAAGACUGGGAUAACUCCGGGAAACCGGAGCUAAUACCGGAUAGUUCCUUGAACCGCAUGGUUCAAGGAUGAAAGACGGUUUCGGCUGUCACUUACAGAUGGACCCGCGGCGCAUUAGCUAGUUGGUGAGGUAACGGCUCACCAAGGCGACGAUGCGUAGCCGACCUGAGAGGGUGAUCGGCCACACUGGGACUGAGACACGGCCCAGACUCCUACGGGAGGCAGCAGUAGGGAAUCUUCCGCAAUGGACGAAAGUCUGACGGAGCAACGCCGCGUGAGUGAUGAAGGUUUUCGGAUCGUAAAGCUCUGUUGUUAGGGAAGAACAAGUGCAAGAGUAACUGCUUGCACCUUGACGGUACCUAACCAGAAAGCCACGGCUAACUACGUGCCAGCAGCCGCGGUAAUACGUAGGUGGCAAGCGUUGUCCGGAAUUAUUGGGCGUAAAGGGCUCGCAGGCGGUUUCUUAAGUCUGAUGUGAAAGCCCCCGGCUCAACCGGGGAGGGUCAUUGGAAACUGGGAAACUUGAGUGCAGAAGAGGAGAGUGGAAUUCCACGUGUAGCGGUGAAAUGCGUAGAGAUGUGGAGGAACACCAGUGGCGAAGGCGACUCUCUGGUCUGUAACUGACGCUGAGGAGCGAAAGCGUGGGGAGCGAACAGGAUUAGAUACCCUGGUAGUCCACGCCGUAAACGAUGAGUGCUAAGUGUUACGGGGUUUCCGCCUCUUAGUGCUGCAGCUAACGCAUUAAGCACUCCGCCUGGGGGAGUACGGUCGCAAGACUGAAAACUCAAAGGAAUUGACAGGGGCCCGCACAAGCGCUGGUAGCAUGUGAUUUAUUUCGAAGCAACGCGGAGAACCUUUACAUGUCUUGACGUGCUGCUGACAACCCUAGAGAUAGGUCUUUCCUUUCGGGACGGAGUGACAGUGGGCAUGCCUUGGUCGUCAGCUCGUGUCGUGAGAUGUGGGUUUAAGUUCCG
rnacentral:rRNA from 1 species